rnacentral:tRNA from 1 species
GAAGUAUAGUUCAGUUGGUAGAACGUCGGUCUCCAAAACCGAAGGUCAGAGGUUCGAAUCCUUUUGCUU